rnacentral:sRNA from 1 species
UUAAAUACCUGUGGGGCGGGAAGUCGGGCGGAGUCUAAAGGCCAGGGCGCUGCCGCCCCGGAGUAGGAAAGGGCCGAGAGUAAGGCCAGGGACUAUCAGAGCCUGAGUCUCCACCCAUAGCAAAUGGCAUCUGUACUGGAAGCCUCUGCAUAUUAGUGCAGGGCGGGGAUGGAUAGAUGAAUGAAGGCAACGCUGAUAUGACAAGAUAUAGAAGAGCAGAAGGCAAGAAGGGGAUGCAGCUCAGUGACUUCUGGUAGGCGACUUUUGGCUUCAAAACCCUGAAAACUGUGUCCUAGACCACCCCGACACUACCAUUUUCUGAACAUCUUCCCAUAAAGAAUAAUGAAUAUUGAACACCAGGAUACCAAAAAAGCUCAUCUAAUCUACUCAAGUAUCACUGUGUACUCUGUUUCAAGAUGCAAAUGAAGUGGGGAUUUUCCUAUGCUGGACAGAGUGUACAGUUACCUGGCCAUGAGGUCUUGGGUCAUUGCUGAAGGGAGAUUCAUGAGGAUGCCAGACUUAAGGAAUGCCUGGCCAGCAAAAGGCCUGAGUAAAUGAGAAAAGAACCAAAGUAAUUAAGAUUCUUGAGCUGAAGGGGAUUGUAACCCCAUAGGAAAAACAACAGUAUCAACUAACCUGACCACCAGAGCGUCCAGAGAUUAAACUAACAACAAAAGAGUACACGUGGAGAAUUAUCCUACUGAAUAGACCAUGAGCUACUUGGAGACAGAAUUGGAGAAGAUACAGUCUCUGGUCUCAGUAUGGAUGUGUAAGCAGGUGAAAUACGUUAUGACAUUUCCCUGUCUAAUUCUUCGCUGGAGUACACAAGAAUCUGCAUACUUUGGCCUGUGGCUUGGGACUUCAGAUCCACGUCUUUAAGACCUGGUGAGCCAGCCAGAAGAAAGAGCUGAAGGUGCCCCAUGGCCAGAUCCAAGUGUAUGCCUGGACUCUCUUCUGCUUCUCCAUAUUGGGAUAUAAGUCCAGCAAAAGAAGUAACCAUUGGCCAAGGACAGAUGCCGAGACCAUCAUUAAAAUUGAGAAGCAGCGCUGGAGAGAUGAUUCAGCAGUUAAGAGCACUUGCUGUUCUUACAAAGGGCCUGUCUGGAUUUCAUUCCCGGUGCCCACAUGGAAGCUCACAGUUGUCUGUAAUUCCAGUUCCAAGGAAUCUGUCACACUCUUCUGACUUCCUUGGGCACAAGCAUACACGAGAUGUAUACUCAUAUGUAGGCAAAAUAUUCAUACACAUAUGACAAAAUAAAUCUAAAAUAUUGACAUAGAUUUAGAGUUUUAGUAUUUUAAUCAAAUAUUCAUUUAGAUGAGUUUAUCAUACACCUUCAAGGUGCAUCAGUUGCAAGGUACUUAAGUUUCAAAUUGUAGCAUCACUCCAAAUAAAGCUGAGAUUAUGCCACUCCAAACUCAAAUUUAAGUGAACAACUGUAUGCAUUUCAACAUGUUGGCUAAACAUGCCCUGUGAAAAGUGAAAAUAUGUAGCCCAGUUUUUCGAUCUGGAACCAGAAUUUGAAAACCAAUUUCAAGAUUUCCAGGAAAAGUAAUUAAUAUUUUAAUAUAUUUGCAACUCCAUUUUAAGCUCACAGAAAUAUGCCAAAUACCAAUUUUCAAGCAGAAUGCACAGAGAUGCAAUCUGACAUUUAACCUAAGGAUAAACUUGGUUAGGUCUCUUUACUCAGCUUGCCUGGAUCCUGUCUCUUCAGACACAAUUAUCCCGCCAUUCCCAGUCACAGUCUGUUCACGUCAUCACUGGUUGGCAGCUCUUUCAUUUGUGAGCAAGUAUGGAACCAGGUUAUCCUUGAACUCAGUGGUAGGCCUUGCUCUGCAGGGAUUAAAGGCGAGUGCCACCGUGGCCCAGCUGGGCAAGUAUGUUUGAGAAUGAGGCACAUGUAGUAAAAUUAGAACCCAGACACUUGACAAGCACCUGCCAGCAUGCUCAGAAUCACGAUUAUUCUUCCAUGGAAGCAGCUAUUGACACAUUAGAUCCCAAGAGAGAUACCAGAUUGUGGCCAUCUUUGUUUUACUUAAUUAAAAAUAGUUUUGAAAAAUGAA